rnacentral:rRNA from 1 species
UAAGCACCGGCUAACUCCGUGCCAGCAGCCGCGGUAAUACGGAGGGUGCGAGCGUUAUCCGGAUUUAUUGGGUUUAAAGGGUCCGUAGGCGGAUUAAUAAGUCAGUGGUGAAAUCCCAUCGCUUAACGAUGGAACUGCCAUUGAUACUGUUAGUCUUGAAUGAGGGUGCAGUGGUUGGAAUGUGUAGUGUAGCGGUGAAAAUGCAUAGAUAUUACACAGAACACCGAUUGCGAAGGCAGAUCACUAACCCUAAGUUGACGCUGAGGGACGAAAGCGUGGGGAGCGAACAGGAUUAGAUACCCUGGUAG